rnacentral:rRNA from 1 species
UACGUAGGGGGCAAGCGUUGUCCGGAUUUAUUGGGCGUAAAGAGCGUGUAGGCGGUUUGGUAGGUCCGCUGUGAAAACUCGAGGCUCAACCUCGAGACGCCGGUGGAAACCAUCAGACUAGAGUCCGGAAGAGGAGAGUGGAAUUCCUGGUGUAGCGGUGAAAUGCGCAGAGUAUCAGGAAGAACACCCGUGGCUAAGGCGGCUCUCUAGUACGGUACUGACGCUGAGGAGCGAAAGCGUGGGGAGCGAACAGG